GUUUUCGUGGUGUAGUGGUCAACACACUCGGAGCGUAUUUGAGAGAUUCGUGGUUCGAGUCCCGGCGAAGGCA
rnacentral:tRNA from 1 species